rnacentral:rRNA from 1 species
UGGGUAACCUGCCUCAAAGAGGGGAAUAGCCUCCCGAAAGGGAGAUUAAUACCGCAUAAUAUGUUUAAGUCGCAUGACUUUAACAUCAAAGGAUUUUUCUUUUAGAACUUACACUUUGAGAUGGACCCGCGGCGCAUUAGCUAGUUGGUGAGGUAACGGCUCACCAAGGCAACGAUGCGUAGCCGACUGAGAGGGUGAUCGGCCACAUUGGAACUGAGACACGGUCAGCUCCGAGG